GGGGUUGUGGCUCAGUGGUAGAGGGCUCUUCCUGCACAUGUGAGUCACUGGGUUCGAUUCUCAGAACCACA
rnacentral:tRNA from 1 species